UCGAUGCAAGAACCACUAAACGCUUCCUGAAGUGUUCAUCUUCAAUUUAAAUAUGAUUCGAAAUCGUGUUGAAGAUUUUAGCGCUCAAAAACAGAUCCCAAGAGUUGGACAGGAAGCAAUGUUCUUGGAUCAAAUCCAUAUAUCUUUGCAAAAACCUAUUCCUGAACGAUGCGAAGAUGUCAGAAGAAUGAUACAGGAAUGGAAUAUCAAGGAUCUCCAUGUAUUAUACCCCCAUCUUCUUGCAAGUAUUUUCAGCGUGACUCCAGGGAAAGGCUGGGCUCUACACACCCCACACUCCAGAUAACUGGAGGCUUUCCGUCAUUUCCUCGGUCCCCAUGGUCCGGUGUGGAGUCUAGUUGAAAAACUCGACAGAGAUUCUUUCCUUCGAUAUGAGUUUCCUGUGAUAUGCUUGCCAAAACCAACUCAGCGUCUGUUUACUGAAGGAAUCAUUUCAACAAUGUAUUAUAACAAAGUCCAGUUUAACAAUGACAGCAGAACAUCAUUAGUUUUAAGCACAGGUGCUGUGGAAUAUUUUCUCUAUCAGUUUGCAUAUUUCAUAACGCAAAGUAGCUCACCUUGGGACAGCACCAGAGCGGCUGACCGAAGCCAUGACACAAUCUACACGGCUUUGUUCUCAGAAUUCUUGGAGUAUUUUCUUCCAUCGCAAACCAUGA